UGCAUCAUAUCAUCACAAACAUUUAUAUCUUUCCUCUCAUAAUGAGUGCUUCUUGUCGUAAAAAUCCGUUGAUCAAACGCCAAGCAGUACUUUUGUUCAUUGUAGCAUUUACUAUUUAGAUACCUUUCAGCGAAAAAAGUAGAAAACGAGUGUGGCGAGAUUCCAACUGUGAUUGUACAGAAUAAAAUCGAUCUAUUAGAUCAAAGCGUUGUCAAUCCAGAAGAAGCUGAUCUUUUGACCCGUGCAUUAGGG